rnacentral:lncRNA from 1 species
CCCUCAAUAGUUAUAGGCCUAGAUUUGGCAGGGAGGAGCAUUGGUUUUGGCCUCUUCUUUGCCUGCUCAAGAGGAUGAAAAGGAGAGAAUAGGUUCCAGGCUUUGGGUACCAUCCUAGUUUCCUACGGGAUGUCCCACCAAGAUGUAAAUCCUUGCUUAUAGGAUUUCCUUUUGAUCCCUAUAGUAAAACUUUAUCACAUA